rnacentral:rRNA from 1 species
GUGAACCCCGAACCAGGAAGGAUACCCCCUGAACUUAA